GGAGGCUGCGCGGCGGAGAGUAGAGAGCUAGAGGGUGAGAAGCGCUGGGCCGGACCAGAACUGUCUUCGCUUUUCCCUCUGCGGCUGCUCUGGUUGGUUACUUUGAGCCUUCCUCCUCAGCGCCGCAGGAGAGACUUAACAGCAAAAAUGACUGUGUCCUGAGUUCAGCCCCCACUGCUCUGGGAGCUUCCCCCUGGUUUCUGCACCUGAAGAAUGUCAUCCCAGCCGAAGGUUCUUAGGAGCGGGGAGCGACAAAGAAAAACAAAGAAAAGCAGACCUGAAAAUUGGGACCUGGGAGAAAUAGACGAGUGCUCUAAACCAGUAUCAUGGCUCCAGUUCCUCUGACAAGGAUUCACAUGGGGUAAGUGCCCACUAAGGCAGAGGUGUCUACUUCAGCAGUGCAGAGCAACUCAGCUAAGUAGAGGGAAUAUGAAAUAGAACCAGAAGUCUAGCCUGCUUAGCUACA
rnacentral:lncRNA from 1 species